rnacentral:lncRNA from 1 species
UUUAAAAAAGUAUACUUAUCGGUAAAAAUUGUAUUAAUUGAGGGAGUUAAAUAAAUACGAAUAAGUAAAUUUUAGCCGUCCAAGACACUGCAAUCCUCAAUCUACUCAAAAUACACAUUCUUUCCCUUGAAAUCAAACGCAACAUUGUAACGUUGCUGAGCCAUUAUCCCAAUUAUCCGACCCAACAAUAGCCAUGCAGAAUGUGUUCUCGUCGAUUUGUCUGAACACCCCUCUAUUUGUUGGGGCGCAGCGGACAAGAAUAGAGUAAAUAUAUUGCACUAAUAAACCACACACCGUAAAUAUUUCCCAGGUAAGUUGGAAGUGGCGGU